GCCAAGAAGACUGUAUAUAUAAACCUUCAGUGGUCAUAGCUGCUAGUUACAUAUCGUCAGCAGUCAGCACACAGACUUUUGACGAAAAACAAAUCAAACCCAAGUCCGUCCACUCGGCGGCGCGUUGUGUUUAUAAUUUGCUGAUAUAUAGUUCAUCGCUCGGGGUCAGGGAAAGGGAGAAGAUGGAAUCCGAAGCCAGAUCCGAUUUCUGGUCGUCCAUGGCGUCAUGGUUAUCGUGGUUUUGCUCUGCUACUAUGGCGGCAGACUCUGGUAGGCGCACCGGGAGCGGGAGCGAUGGGGUGGCCGGAAUUGCUGCGGCGGCUCAACAUUUCUCCAGCGCUCAUACUGUUAAGUUCUGUUAAAUAGGAGUAGUGGUAGCAUGUUAUAUAUGGGUUUGUUUGGAUGAAUUAGGACUAGUGAUUAGUCCAAUUAAUUAGUUGGGUUCUAUGAACUAGUGAACUAACGACUAGUUGAGGCUAUGGCUAGUUGUUAGACUAAUCACUAGUCCAACGGUUUGGAUCUUCAAGAGCUAAACUUGAGUUAACUAGUUGUUAGUCCAUGUGAUCUAAACGCUCUAAGUUUUCGGACUACUAAGAACCAGACUCUGGUUUUAUGUAUCCUAAUGAUAUAAUUGCAAGAAAUUGCGGUGACCACUUUCUUGUUUAGUAAUAUAUAAUAAUGGGUUGUCCGGCCUACCUUGACAAUCUGACGCAACUGCGUUGUCUUUCUCAUUGACACUCUGCUCACCCAACUCACGGUAUGGUAAUUUCACGUCACUGGAGAAUCAUACUUAAAUUAAGGCCUUGUUUAGUUCCGAAAAGUAAAAAGUUUUCGGUACUGUAGCACUUUCGUUUGUUUGUGACAAAUAUUAUCCAAUCAUGGACUAACUAUGAUCAAAAGAUUUAACCCGUGAUUUACAGCUAAACUGUGUAAUUAGUUUUUGUUUUCGUCUAUAUUUAAUGUUUCAUGCAUGUGCCACAAGAUUCGAUGUGACGAGGAAUCUUGAAAACUUUUUAGUUUUCAGAGUGAACUAAACAAGGCCUUAAAAGCUACCUAUUCGAAAAAGGGAAUUACCUAGAAUUCUUCACUUCACAUUAUGUAUUAACAUGUCAUGGAUGUGCUUGUCCUAAAAAAAUGGUCGUUGUGUCGUGCUUAGAAUCACGGUCCUAUAGGCACAGUUCACGAGGAUGUACCAACACUGUAUAAAUAGAUAGCUCAAUACAAGUCUCUCUUACUAUAUUUUUAGACUGUACUCUCUAUUUCAAUGCAAUUGAGAAUUACCAAACUACCCUAUAUAAAAGUACCCUGUCACAACAGGUUGGAACUUGGAAGGAGACAGAGGGCUGAGUCUGCUCGCACGAAUCAGCCAGUCAUUCAGGCCUUGUUUAGUUUGUAAAAAUUUUCAAGAUUCCCUAUCACAUCAAAUUUUUUGUCGCAUGCAUAGAGCAUUAAAUAUAGAUAAAAAUAAAAACUAAUUGCACAGUUUACCUGUAAUUUGUGAGAUGAAUCUUUUGAGCCUAGUUACUCUUUGUUUGGACAAUGUUUGUCAAAUAAAAACGAAAGUGCUACAGUAGCCAAAAACCAAAAUUUUCGCGAACUAUCAGUAAUAUUUUUUUAUAACAAAUUAGCAAACAAUACUUUCAGCUAUAGCUUUUUAGCCCAGCCAAACUUUUUAUUUCCUGCAUCAUUUCCUUGUUGGUUAUUGGCUACUGUUGCACGCGUCUUGCAGGUUCAGGCUUGUGUGAUCGAUUAAUACGUGAUAAAUUUAAAACUCUAAACGUGCAAUUAAAUUAUUCCCCUGUCCCAUUGAAAACAUUGUUUUUAACUUUUUAGAAUUCUUGUUUAAUCAUUUAUCUUAUUCAAAAUGUUUAUAUAAAUUUAUUUUGUUAUGACUUGUUUUGUCAAAAAAACUUUAACAAUAAUUUCUUUAUUUCACUAUUUGUAUAACAAAUUGAAUAAAAUAAACGGUUACAUAAGUUAAAACGAUACUUUUAAUAGCACAGAGGGAGUAGAAGAGAGUGAGUACUUCUCACUAUGCUUGUACAGUUGUACUAAGGUCUUGUAUAGUUGACCCCAAAAACCAAAAACUUUUUAAGAUUUUCCGUCACAUCGAAUUUUACGGUACAUGCAUGGAGCAUUAAAUAUAGAUGAAAACAAAAACUAAUUGUACAGUUUGCCUAUAAAUCGCAAGACGAAUCUUUUAAGUCUAGUUACUCUACAAUUAGACAAUAUUUAUCAAAAUAAAAACAAAAAUGCUGCAAUAUCAAAAUCAAAAAAAGAUCUAAACAAAGCCUAAGAAAAAUGAUAGUUGAAACUCUUUCUUAUCAUGCCAAACUUGUCACGCGUUGUUGGCUCCUCUUUCCAAAUCCGCAUCCCCUUAUGUAUUAUUUUAGGCUGGCCACAUCCGACUGAACGAGCCACCGUAGUAAUAGCUGUCGUUUGACACAGAAGAAUGCUCAACAGCGGAACAACUAAUAGCUCAUCUCGUGUUGAGACUUUUUGCAGGUGUCAUGCUAAAAAAAGAGAGUAUUUGCACGUGUCUAAUUUGUAGCGCGGUCAAACAACAUGCGUGUUCGCGAUCGAGAGCCCCCACCAGAAAACCAAACUUGACUGGCAAGUUGUUGGUGCCCUUGCUGCCUUGCUUCUUUUGACCACACAACACAAGCAUCUUCCGUGUCUUUUUAUUGAUCCCGUGCCUUAUUACAUUUAUUUACUGGCUGUACAUCUACUAUAUACAUACCCCUUUUAGUUUAAUAAAAGAAAAAAAAAUGUUUUUCUACAGUAAUGCAUGCACAGAUCAUGACCGGUGACCAGGCUCUGCUUGUUCAAAUCUCA
rnacentral:lncRNA from 1 species